rnacentral:rRNA from 1 species
GAUGAACGCUGGCGGCGUGCCUAAUACAUGCAAGUCGAGCGAACAGACGAGGAGCUUGCUCCUCUGACGUUAGCGGCGGACGGGUGAGUAACACGUGGAUAACCUACCUAUAAGACUGGGAUAACUUCGGGAAACCGGAGCUAAUACCGGAUAAUAUAUUGAACCGCAUGGUUCAAUAGUGAAAGACGGUUUUGCUGUCACUUAUAGAUGGAUCCGCGCCGCAUUAGCUAGUUGGGAAGGUAACGGCUUACCAAGGCAACGAUGCGUAGCCGACCUGAGAGGGUGAUCGGCCACACUGGAACUGAGACACGGUCCAGACUACUACGGGAGGCAGCAGUAGGGAAUCGUCCGCAAUGGGCGAAAGCCUGACGGAGCAGCGCCGCGUGAGUGAUGAAGGUCUUCGGAUCGUAAAACUCUGUUAUUAGGGAAGAACAAAUGUGUAAGUAACUAUGCACGUCUUGACGGUACCUAAUCAGAAAGCCACGGCUAACUACGUG